rnacentral:rRNA from 1 species
UGGGGGAUAACGUAGGGAAACUUACGCUAAUACCGCAUACGACCUACGGGUGAAAGCAGGGGANCUUCGGACCUUGCGCGAUUGAAUGAGCCGAUGUCGGAUUAGCUAGUUGGCGGGGUAAAGGCCCACCAAGGCGACGAUCCGUAGCUGGUCUGAGAGGAUGAUCAGCCACACUGGAACUGAGACACGGUCCAGACUCCUACGGGAGGCAGCAGUGGGGAAUAUUGGACAAUGGGCGCAAGCCUGAUCCAGCCAUACCGCGUGGGUGAAGAAGGCCUUCGGGUUGUAAAGCCCUUUUGUUGGGAAAGAAAUCCAGCCGGCUAAUACCUGGUUGGGAUGACGGUACCCAAAGAAUAAGCACCGGCUAACUUCGUGCCAGCAGCCGCGGUAAUACGAAGGGUGCAAGCGUUACUCGGAAUUACUGGGCGUAAAGCGUGCGUAGGUGGUUGUUUAAGUCUGUUGUGAAAGCCCUGGGCUCAACCUGGGAACUGCAGUGGAAACUGGACAACUAGAGUGUGGUAGAGGGUAGCGGAAUUCCCGGUGUAGCAGUGAAAUGCGUA